rnacentral:rRNA from 1 species
GAUGAACGCUGGCGGCGUGCUUUACACAUGCAAGUCGAACGGUGAAGGUGGAGCUUGCUCCGCCGGAUCAGUGGCGAACGGGUGAGUAACACGUGGGCAACCUGCCCCUAACUUUGGGAUAACUACUCGAAAGAGUAGCUAAUACCGCAUAUGAAGUCUGUAGGCAUCUAUGGAUUUGGAAAGUUUUUCGGUUAGGGAUGGGCCCGCGGCCUAUCAGCUUGUUGGUGAGGUAGUGGCUCACCAAGGCGACGGCGGGUAGCCGGCCUGAGAGGGCGACCGGCCACACUGGGACUGAGACACGGCCCAGACUCCUACGGGAGGCAGCAGUGGGGAAUAUUGCGCAAUGGGCGAAAGCCUGACGCAGCAACGCCGCGUGCGGGAUGAAGGCCUUCGGGUUGUAAACCGCUUUCAGCAGGGAAGAAGCGAAAGUGACGGUACCUGCAGAAGAAGCACCGGCUAACUACGUGCCAGCCGCCGCAGUAA